GGCAAAGUACGGCCUGUGGAUGCCUAUGGAUAGGCAUCGUCUUGCCACGGGGAAGUCGGGAAACUCGGACAACCGUGACCAAAGCUGCUGACGAUGUCACAGACAGUCCGUGCCCCCCGUGUUUUAAUAUUUAACCCUUUUGCGGCUCACGGACUAAAAGUGCACGUUGAGUGUAUGGCUGAAUGGAUGAAAACAGCAGAAAGGAAAGGGUUAACUGGGACAGAAAGUGUUUGGUGAACACAGUUCACCGGUAGGUUUUGGCGGGAAAGAGUUAAGGAUGUUUAGUCAGGCCCUGGAUACCGAGAGAAGAGGACGUGCCUGAGUCACGAGUUGUGAAUGUCCCGAGUUGAGCUUUGUCAAGUAGUACAGGGUGGUGUCCAUCCACGCUGGGUGCGGGCGAUACUGACCACUGAUCCGUUUUUGAAUUAACCCCGCCUAGACGAGGUUUUAAUGGUAUGGGCUGAAGAAUUGGAGCCAUUCUGGAUAAGGAAGAAUCGCCUCACAGGACCUUUCAGUGAUCGGUUCGGUCACUCAUGUAGAAACAUUAGUCAACAAGGGGAUGGAGAAAAUUUUAUUUACUUCACUAUCUUGUGCGCGUUAUGAAGAUGAAUGCAAUGAGGUCCCAGCAGCAGCUCCUGCCCCUUCUGUCACAGCAGUGGAUCAAACACCAGAAUCAUCGUCUGGCUGGUGGGAUUAUGAUGCCGCAUCAGAAGCUCCAAAUGGGCCAUUCGGAGGGGCCAUUCACAGUUGAGAUUUUUAACUAUCAUUUUCGAAAAGAGAAAUUCAUUUCUGUUCACCUGACCAUGAACGCUGGUGGCUUUGUACCUCUGAAUAAAAUGAAACACCAGGAACACUAGAUAAAGUCCAAACCUCCAAAGUGUAAAAUACUUCUAGGUCUUUGUAACCUGGUUGUCAUAUGAUUCUAGUAAAUGAGCAGUGAUGAGAAGUGAAGUUGUUGGCUAGGUGUCAUACUUUUUACCAAUAGGGAAAGUUUUUUUUUGCAUAAAAUAUUGUUAUUGGGAGAUAUACCCAAGAGUGCACGUUUAUGAGCAGUAGUGUAAAAGUAUAUUUAAAAUAGGAAGAUUGAAAAGAAAACAUAAAAAAGAAAUUUCUCUGUAAGAUACAAGGUUCGCAGGGUCCUUACAAGUCCUUACGUAGAGAAUUUUCGCCGUAUGGCAUUAUAAGUCCUUAUAUUUGUCAUGUGGUCCUUACAGUUCCUCACACACGUCCUUACAUUUUCUCUGUGAUCAUUACAAGUUCUUAUAUCGAUAAAAUACUACUACAGACUGUUAGGUGACCAGAAGUCCCGUUUAGGCGGGACAGUCCCGCUUUUGACCUCGUGUCCCGCCUGCUCAUAAAGCGGUCCGGUGGCGCAACGGUUAGCGCCUGUCACCAAUACAGUGAAGGUUGGCUGCCCAGAGUUCAGUUGCUGGCACGGCGUAAAACACCAGUACCCCCCCCCCUUCCCGCCUGCUCAUAAAAUGUCGAGGCUGGACGCCCAAUGUCCGGUUUUCUGGCAAGUUCAUCAAUGUCCUGCAUGUCUUUAAAAAUCUGAUUACCGUACACUGAGUCGCAUCGACGCCUUGGGUUUUGGUUUUUGCCUUUUGUCGGUGUCUCGUUGAUGUCGAUUUAUUUUUCGUCCGGUGCUUGAUGCGUGACCAGAGAGAUAAUGACCUGACAGCAGAUAUUGCACGGUGCCGCUGGUACAUCGCUUGUGUACAUCAAUCACAACAUAGUCCAGUCAUACAACACUAAUAUGAAGAUGACACUCCUCGCACUCUCCUCUAGCAACGAGGCUCCAGUUCUAUUUCCUCUUUUAUGACCGCUCUACCAAUCGUUGAGUACGUUACACACAGUUCAUAGUCUCUCUUAGGGUUGUCGCUCUCCACAUGUCCAGCCAAUUAGAAUCUAUUAGCACAAAUACAUGUACACACACACACGACUGCCGUACACAGUGGCCGUGACGUCAGGCGGUUUCCGAGGUCACAGGGCAGGUACUCCGCGGUGACGUCACGGGCCUCCUAGCCCACGUGCUAGGUGAUUAAGUAAUUAGAAGCAUCUAUACUUAAAGCUGCUGCUGGGACUUCACUGGCAUUGAUCUUCUUAAUGAGCACAAGAUAGUCGGUAAAGUCACGUGCUGCUUUUGCCUGCGCAUCCUUCUUACUGGUCGAGCGGCCCGGUGGCGCAACGGUUAGCGCCUGUCACCAAUACAGUGAAAGUU